rnacentral:rRNA from 1 species
GAAUAUUGGGCAAUGGGCGAAAGCCUGACCCAGCCACGCCGCGUGCGGGAAGAAGGCCCACAGGGUUGUAAACCGCUUUUCUCCGGGAAUAAGGACCUGGCCUCCAGGUUUUGCAGGUACCGGGGGAAUAAGCACCGGCAAACUACGUGCCAGCAGCCGCGGUAAUACGUAGGGUGCAAGCGUUGUCCGGAUUCACUGGGUUUAAAGGGUGCGCAGGCGGCGGCGUAAGUCCGGGAUGAAAUGGGGGGGCUCAACCCCCUCGCUGUCCCGGAUACUGCGGCGCUCGAGUCACGAUGAGGUAACUGGAAUGGACGGUGUAGCGGUGAAAUGCGUAGAGAUCGUCCGGAACGCCGAUUGCGAAGGCAGGUUACUGGUCGUGCACUGACGCUCAGGCACGAAAGCGCGGGUAGCGAAC